CACCAGGAGCCCAAGAGAAACUGACAAGCCUGCCAUCGAGACGAGGGAUCAGCUCAUGCAGCUACUGUCUGAAUGGAAAUUCACAGACCUCUGGAGGACAAGAAGGGCUGUCAAGCAGCUAUUUCAGCAGAUUCUCACAACUCUGAAGCGCAGCUGCAAGACACUGCGGAUGGAACCCGACAGGGUGAUGCACAGCCCAGUACAGCUCUUUCUGCAGAAGCUGUGUUGUGACCUCACGGACCAUCUAACCCUGCUGGUCACAACACAUCUUGAUCAGAAGUAGUUACUUGAUCCAAGGAUCUCAUCCAGCUGUUUCUUGAAUGAAGCCAA